GACGAACGCUGGCGGCGUGCUUAACACAUGCAAGUCGAACGAAGUGGCGAACGGGUGAGUAAUGCGUAAUCAACCUGCCCUUCAGAGGGGGACAACAGUUGGAAACGACUGCUAAUACCGCAUACUGAAGGAGGGGAUUGCGUCUGAUUAGCUAGUGGGAGGGGUAACGGCCCACCAAGGCGAGUAUCAGUAGACGGUCUGGGAGGAAGAAAGGCGAAAAUGGGACUGAGACACGGCCCAGACUCCGAAGGGAGGCAGCAGUGGGGAAACUUCCGAAAUGGACGAAAGUCUGACGGAGCAACGCCGCGUGAUUGAUGGCGGCCUUCGGGUUGUAAAGCUCUGUUAAUCGGGACGCGGUACCGGAAUAGAAAGCCACGGCUAACUACGUGCCAGCAGCCGCGGUAAUUC
rnacentral:rRNA from 1 species